GGAGAAGCAGCCUGGGAGAGGUAUCCAAGAAGGGAACUGCACAGGACGAGCAGCUGGAAGGCAGGAGAAGCAGCCUGGGAGAGGUAUCCAAGAAGGGAACUGCACAGGACGAGCAGCUGGAAGGCAGGAGAAGCAGCCUGGGAGAGGUAUCCAAGAAGGGAACUGCACAGGACGAGCAGCUGGAAGGCAGGAGAAGCAGCCUGGGAGAGGUAUCCAAGAAGGGAACUGCACAGGACGAGCAGCUGGAAGGCAGGAGAAGCAGCCUGGGAGAGGUAUCCAAGAAGGGAACUGCACAGGACGAGCAGCUGGAAGGCAGGAGAAGCAGCCUGGGAGAGGUAUCCAAGAAGGGAACUGCACAGGACGAGCAGCUGGAAGGCAGGAGAAGCAGCCUGGGAGAGGUAUCCAAGAAGGGAACUGCACAGGACGAGCAGCUGGAAGGCAGGAGAAGCAGCCUGGGAGAGGUAUCCAAGAAGGGAACUGCACAGGACGAGCAGCUGGAAGGCAGGAGAAGCAGCCUGGGAGAGGUAUCCAAGAAGGGAACUGCACAGGACGAGCAGCUGGAAGGCAGGAGAAGCAGCCUGGGAGAGGUAUCCAGAAGGGAACUGCACAGGACGAGCAGCUGGAAGGCAGGAGAAGCAGCCUGGGAGAGGUAUCCAAGAAGGGAACUGCACAGGACGAGCAGCUGGAAGGCAGGAGAAGCAGCCUGGGAGAGGUAUCCAAGAAGGGAACUGCACAGGACGAGCAGCUGGAAGGCAGGAGAAGCAGCCUGGGAGAGGUAUCCAAGAAGGGAACUGCACAGGACGAGCAGCUGGAAGGCAGGAGAAGCAGCCUGGGAGAGGUAUCCAAGAAGGGAACUGCACAGGACGAGCAGCUUGGAAGGCAGGAGAAGCAGCCUGGGAGAGGUAUCCAAGAAGGGAACUGCACAGGACGAGCAGCUGGAAGGCAGGAGAAGCAGCCUGGGAGAGGUAUCCAAGAAGGGAACUGCACAGGACGAGCAGCUGGAAGGCAGGGAGAAGCAGCCUGGGAGAGGUAUCCAAGAAGGGAACUGCACAGGACGAGCAGCUGGAAGGCAGGAGAAGCAGCCUGGGAGAGGUAUCCAAGAAGGGAACUGCACAGGACGAGCAGCUGGAAGGCAGGAGAAGCAGCCUGGGAGAGGUAUCCAAGAAGGGAACUGCACAGGACGAGCAGCUGGAAGGCAGGAGAAGCAGCCUGGGAGAGGUAUCCAAGAAGGGAAACUGCACAGGACGAGCAGCUGGAAGGCAGGAGAAGCAGCCUGGGAGGAGGUAUCCAAGAAGGGAACUGCACAGGACGAGCAGCUGGAAGGCAGGAGAAGCAGCCUGGGAGAGGUAUCCAAGAAGGGAACUGCACAGGACGAGCAGCUGGAAGGCAGGAGAAGCAGCCUGGGAGAGGUAUCCAAGAAGGGAACUGCACAGGACGAGCAGCUGGAAGGCAGGAGAAGCAGCCUGGGAGAGGUAUCCAAGAAGGGAACUGCACAGGACGAGCAGCUGGAAGGCAGGAGAAGCAGCCUGGGAGAGGUAUCCAAGAAGGGAACUGCACAGGACGAGCAGCUGGAAGGCAGGAGAAGCAGCCUGGGAGAGGUAUCCAAGAAGGGAACUGCACAGGACGAGCAGCUGGAAGGCAGGAGAAGCAGCCUGGGAGAGGUAUCCAAGAAGGGAACUGCACAGGACGAGCAGCUGGAAGGCAGGAGAAGCAGCCUGGGAGAGGUAUCCAAGAAGGGAACUGCACAGGACGAGCAGCUGGAAGGCAGGAGACGCAGCCUGGGAGAGGUAUCCAAGAAGGGAACUGCACAGGACGAGCAGCUGGAAGGCAGGAGAAGCAGCCUGGGAGAGGUAUCCAAGAAGGGAACUGCACAGGACGAGCAGCUGGAAGGCAGGAGAAGCAGCCUGGGAGAGGUAUCCAAGAAGGGAACUGCACAGGACGAGCAGCUGGAAGGCAGGAGAAGCAGCCUGGGAGAGGUAUCCAAGAAGGGAACUGCACAGGACGAGCAGCUGGAAGGCAGGAGAAGCAGCCUGGGAGAGGUAUCCAAGAAGGGAACUGCACAGGACGAGCAGCUGGAAGGCAGGAGAAGCAGCCUGGGAGAGGUAUCCAAGAAGGGAACUGCACAGGACGAGCAGCUGGAAGGCAGGAGAAGCAGCCUGGGAGAGGUAUCCAAGAAGGGAACUGCACAGGACGAGCAGCUGGAAGGCAGGAGAAGCAGCCUGGGAGAGGUAUCCAAGAAGGGAACUGCACAGGACGAGCAGCUGGAAGGCAGGAGAAGCAGCCUGGGAGAGGUAUCCAAGAAGGGAACUGCACAGGACGAGCAGCUGGAAGGCAGGAGAAGCAGCCUGGGAGAGAUGAGGAAACAGGCUCAGAGACAUGAAGAAACUAACCCAGGAGUGGGAGAUCCAGGACCUGAACUCCGGCCGUGGCCUAUCAGAUGCUUCUCAAAUUCCUCCCCUUGCCCACACCUCUGCAGAGCCUAAUGGAAUUGAAGUAUUGGCUGACUAUCUGGCAGGUGUGAGGAAACAGAAGGAUGAAGGGCUGGGCUAUAAGAACAUACAACAUUGAGAGCCCAGAAAACGGUGUUGUGUGGAACCCAACACUCAUCUUCAUUGUGUACUCGGAUGGUUCAGAGAAUAAAGCAUUCCAUCCAGCAGCAAGAACAGUUCAGGGUACUGUGGUGAACUCGGGUCUGGAGUGGCAGAGAAGGCCCUGGGGUCUGAGUGGACCCCAAGCUGACUGUGACUCAGCUGGCUGAAGAGGAGGAUGAUCCUAUAAGGCUA
ensembl:lncRNA